AUACGUAGGGGGCAAGCGUUGUCCGGAAUAAUUGGGCGUAAAGGGCGCGUAGGCGGCUCGGUAAGUCUGGAGUGAAAGUCCUGCUUUUAAGGUGGGAAUUGCUUUGGAUACUGUCGGGCUUGAGUGCAGGAGAGGUUAGUGGAAUUCCCAGUGUAGCGGUGAAAUGCGUAGAGAUUGGGAGGAACACCAGUGGCGAAGGCGACUAACUGGACUGUAACUGACGCUGAGGCGCGAAAGUGU
rnacentral:rRNA from 1 species